rnacentral:ncRNA from 1 species
CUUGUGGACUGUUAUAUCAAAUGGGAGUAGAUUUAUAUUUGAGGAUAUAAAAACAAAACCAGACAGGAAGAAGCAAGAA